rnacentral:rRNA from 1 species
CUCAUUUGGGUUGAGGAAUUGUUAUGUUCGAAUCAUAAUGACCCGAUUUUAGUAUUACCUAAAACAUAAUACUAACGUAAACGAUAUGGAUAAUAUUUAUUUGUUAAUAAAUUUAUUAACAUAUAGUAUAUAAAGAGACUAUUAUGGAUAGAUAGCUAUAUAUUAAAGAGGGACAUAUAUAUUAUGUUGAUCCAACAUAAAUGCCAAAAAACAUACUCACUUGCUUAGUUAUAGCAUGAACUCUUAGUUGAAAUUCAAUAAAAAAACGAAGUGAAUUGAAAUAUCUUAUUAACUUCAGGAAUAUAAAUCAAACGAGAUUCUACAAGUAGUGUGAAUGAAAGUAGAAAAGCCUUAAAGUAAAAUGGAGUGCAUACCUGUUUGAAUAUAAAGGGGAAUCUUCCUCUAAGGCUAAAUAUAAUAUAUAAGCGAUAGCGAUACAAAGUACCGUGAGGGAAUAUCUUGAAAUAGUGGUUUUAUAAGCAGCUCAAGUAAAUUUUAAAUAAUAAGAGCGUACCUUUUGCAUAAUGGGUCAGUAAGUUAAUAUUAGAUGCGAGCAGUAAUGCGAAGAUAAACCAAUUGUGAAAGAAUGAUUUAGUAUCUAAAAUUAGACCCGAAGCCUAGUGAUCUUACCAUGAUCAGGAUUAUAAAAGUCCGAACGGUUUAUCGUUGUAAUGAUAUCCGAAGAAUUGUGGUAAGUUAGUGAAAGACAACACUGACUAGGAUAGCUGGUUUUCCGCGAAACCUAUAUUUGUAGGUAAUUUUAAUAACAUCAAAGCAGGUACAGAAUUGUGAUCUCAUGCAACUUUUAUAUUAAUUUAACAUUAAUGUACUUUUUGUGGACAUUGGGGGAUCGUGAAGAUUUUAUCAGUGAGUAUUUGUUCUCGGAAGGGCUUAGAUGAAUAUUGAAUAAUCAGACAUAGUACGAUAAGGUUGUAUGUCUAAAGGGAAAGAGCCCAGAACAAGAGUUAAUAAGGUUCCAAAAUUAUUGUUAAGUGAAAUAAAGGUAGUUUUUGUCCUAUUCGAUCAGGAAAUGGGCUUAGAAGCAGCCAUUUUUUAAAGACCUCGUAAUAGAGCACUGAUUAUACAGAAACAGAAAAAGACUUAGUGGACAAGAGCAUCUAAAAUUUAACGGAUCUAAAUAAUAUACCGAUACCUUGUACAUAUAGAUACAUAUAAAACGAAGCUUUGCCUAUUAAAGCUAUUCCAAUUUUCCUUAUAUUGCUUUUGUACUUUUUUUUCUUUUUUAUAACCGUGUGCUUUUUUUAAAAAUAAUAAAACUAUAAUAAAUAAUAAAUAAUAAAUAAUAAAUAAUAAAUACUAAAAUUUUACGUAUUUGCUUUUUCUUCUAGCUAUCCAAUUAUAUAGUCUAUAUGGGGUAGCGGAACGUUGGGUAAUUAUUAGAUUAUUUCUAUUUAAGAUUUAAAGAUAUCUAAAUCCCAAGUGAUAAUGCUGACAUGAGUAACGAUAAAGGAUAAUAUCCUCGCCUAAAGUUUAAGGAAGCUAAUUAUGUAACGGCCUCUAAGUUAUAGUUCUAACGUGCUAAACGAUGGAAAAAUCAUUGAAUAAAUAACAACUUUUGUUUUUUUGAGUAAAAGAGAUAUCUAUCUCAAAAAAUUGUGACAAAUGUUCUGGAAAAAAGAUGCUUUAAACCGUGCCUAGAAUCUAACACAAGAAAACUAGUAGAGAAUACGAAGGCGUUCGAGUGAACAAUCAUUAAGGAACUCGGCAAAUUGACUCGCGUAACUUCGGGAGAAGGUGGGCCAUUCCUGCUUAUUUAUAAAGUUAGGAAGAGGAGGCACAGAAUGGUGCUGUACGACUGUUUAAUUAAAACACAACACACUGCAAAGAUAAAAAUCGAAGUAUAGGGUGUGAUGUCUGCCCGAUGGCGGCUGGUUAACGGAUUUGCUUAGUUGAUUAAGUUAGGCUUUGAAGGAACCCCCGUUCAAUGGCAGCCUUACCUAUGAGGGUUCUAAGGUAGCGAAAUACCUUGGCCGUUAAAUGCGGUCUUGCAUGAAUGAUGUAACGAUACAGCAGCUGUCUCAAUGAUUGGCUCGGUGAAAUUGGAAUAACUGUGCAGAUACAGUUUACCUCUAGAUAGACGAGAAGACCCUAUGCAGCUUUACUGUUUCUAGUUAUUUGGUAUGAUAUAACCGGUUUUAGUGUAUAAGGUAGUUGGUAAGAUAUAAUUGAAACACCUUUACUUGGUUUAUCAUAUUGUAUCACCUUAAAAGUGGAACAUUUGCUAGGUGGCAGUUUAUGCGGGGAACAGAUCCCAUAAAUAGUACCUGGGUGUAUCCAAACUAUGUAAAGUUGCUAAAUGCAAUCAAACAUGCUUAGGUUUUGCCUACAUGUUUUUUAUUUUUACUUUGCUAUUGGUUAGAAAGAAUAAUAUAUAAUGUUUAAUUAAUUAACUGAUUCAGCUAUUACUCUAUUUAAGUUGGAGCUUUUUUUUUUAUCUAAGUAAGAUUUUACCUAUCAUAAAUAUAGUUGUAAUUAAAGUAUUAAUGAGAAAAAUAUAAAGUUGAAUCAACAAGAACAAGCGAAUAUUAUUUUUUGUAAUGGGAUAGCUAAAUUAAUCAAAAAACUUCUUUGUGUAUCUUCCGCUAAGUUGAGGAGAAAAACUUAAUUGUGUAUUUUCCACUAAAUUGAGGAGCAAAUACACAAAGAGUUUUACCUAUUUCAUAUUUUAAUUAACUUUUACUCUAAUGCUUUUUGUUAUUAAUUGAUCUAUUUGUCUCUUGUAUUACAUAUAUAGGUUUAAAUAGUUAAUUAAAUGAUAGUUUUUAUUACUUAUUAAGUUUAAUGGCUCAAUCUUGCUUUACUGAUUGACUUACACGU